UUGAACGCUGGCGGCAUGCCUUACACAUGCAAGUCGAACGGUAGAGGGGCAACCCUUGAGAGUGGCGAACGGGUGAGUAAUGCAUCGGAACGUGCCCAGUCGUGGGGGAUAACGCAGCGAAAGCUGUGCUAAUACCGCAUGUGAUCUGUGGAUGAAAGCAGGGGACCGCAAGGCCUUGUGCGAUUGGAGCGGCCGAUGUCAGAUUAGCUAGUUGGUAGGGUAAAAGCCUACCAAGGCGACGAUCU
rnacentral:rRNA from 1 species